GUGUAACAACUCACCUGCCGAAUGAACUAGCCCUGAAAAUGGAUGGCGCUGAAGCGGGCGACUUAUACUCGGCCAUUGGGGCAAGUGCGAGGCCCCAAUGAGUAGGAGGGCGCGUGGGUGGUUGUGCAGCCGAGGGCGUGAGCCCGGGUGAAACCUCCCAUGGUGCAGAUCUUGGUGGUAGUAGC
rnacentral:rRNA from 1 species